rnacentral:lncRNA from 1 species
UGUACCAUCCUCUAGAAGUUCUCCAUGUCUAAUCUCCAUCCCUUCUGCUGCAGUAAUCAACCCAUUGAUUAACUACUGAGAGAGAGAGAGAACAUGCUAGCGCAGGGACCCCUACAACUCAUAACAGGUCAGGGGUGAGCUCCAAAUCACCAAAAGGCUGGAUAUAGACCAGUCACACAUACACAAGCCUCCCCUUGGCUCUAUUUCUAACGCGGAAUACUCCUCUAUUUCCCACCCUUAACCUCAAAUGAAACUAGGGCUCUGGAGCCUGCAUCCCUGGGGAGCUUACCCCACCUGUACAUGCUUGUGGAACCUCCACUUUCGACCCUGGCCUCUUGUCCCUGGAGAAGCGGGUGGGAGACUAAAUGCCCACUUCUAGCGACCCCCUAAACCUCCUCUCCCAUGCCAGCGGUGUGGAGCCACCGGGAGACUCCCGCAUAUCCCUUGGCCCGGCGCCAAUGGGGUGGGGGGUGGAGGGACAAGGAGAGAUGGAGUCUGCGGAGUCCCAAGGAACCCCAGCGCCUUGGUCCCUGCAGGAUCUCCCCACCCCCACUCCGCAUUCUUCCCAGCCGGUCCUCCGGAGGGGACGCGACCCUGUACAUCCUCCCACCGGCACUCUCCACGCAACGGGACAAAGAAACCCCACUGCAGCCGGCAAGCGUGACCGCAGGGCACUGGUGCAGCAGGUCCUGGAACUUCGCAACAACUUGUCUCUCUGUCCUGUGCAUCUGUCUUCUUCCUCAUUACCCGGCUGGCUCCUGGAAGGUGUGGUGGGGUAUGGAGGUGAAGAGGGUAGGCUUUGGAGCCAGAGUGCCUGCUUUCAAGUUUAUACCCACAAUCCAAAUGAAUGAAUGACACAGCAGCUGCGCGACCUCCAGUGAGUUACUAAACCUCUAUGUACCUUCAUUUUCUCGU